AAAAGGUUUAAAUGUUGCAUUAUAUAUAUAUUUCGAACCAUGCACUAAUCGUGUAUCAACACGACGAAGAAAGAACUAAAUUGUAAUCAUAUUUAUACCCCCGCACAACAAAGUUGUAUGUGGGUAUACUGGAAUCAGCUUGUCCGUCCGUCCGUCCGUCCGUCCGGCUGUCCGUCGGUUUUUUCUUGUCCGCCCAAUAACUUAAGAUUCCUUUGACCCUUAGUCUUCAUAUUUGGCAUGGAGGUUAGUCAUGAUUAGUAGAUGACCCCUUUUGAUUUUGAGGUCACUGGAUCAAAGGUCAAGGUCAUAGGGACUUUGACUUUAAAAAGUUUGUCCACCCAUUAACUUAAGAUUCCUUUGACCCACAGUCUUCAUAUUUGGCAUGGAUGUUGAUCAUGACUAUAAGGUGACCCCUAUUGAUUUUGAGGUCACUGGGUCAAAGGUCAAGGUCACAGGGACCUUGACAA